rnacentral:ncRNA from 1 species
UAAAGGUUUGGUCCUGGCCCUAUUAUUAGCUGUUAAUAAACUUACACAUGCAAGUAUCCGCACACCAGUGAAAAUGCCCUCCAACUCUAGGGUUGACAAAGAGGUGCAGGCAUCAAGCACACCUUCUUCUGGUAGCUCAUAACGCCUUGCUCAGCCACGCCCCCACGGGAGACAGCAGUGAUAAAAAUUAAGCUAUGAACGAAAGUUUGACUAAGUUAUAUUAAUAAAGGGUUGGUAAAUUUCGUGCCAGCCACCGCGGUCACACGAUUAACCCAAGCUAAUAAAUACCGGCGUAAAGCGUGUUUAAGUAAUAUAAUAAAAAUAAGGUUAAAUUUCAGCUGAGCUGUAAAAAGCCCCAGCUAAUGUAAGAUAAACUACGAAAGUGACUUUAAAUUAUCUGAAUACACGACAGCUAAGGUUCAAACUGGGAUUAGAUACCCCACUAUGCUUAGCCGUAAACUUAAGAAGUUCACUAAACAAUUCUACUCGCCAGAGAACUACAAGCCAUGGCUUAAAACUCAAAGGACUUGGCGGUGCUUCAUAUCCCUCUAGAGGAGCCUGUUCUGUAAUCGAUAAACCCCGAUAGACCUCACCAGCCCUUGCCAAUUCAGCCUAUAUACCGCCAUCCUCAGCAAACCCUAAAGGGAGAGAUAGUAAGCAUAAACAUAACACAUAAAAACGUUAGGUCAAGGUGUAGCCUAUGGGCUGGAAAGUAAUGGGCUACAUUUCCUUAUACAAGGAUACUAUACUAAAAUAUACGAAAAUUAACAUGCAAUUGUUAAUUAAAGGUGGAUUUAGCAGUAAAUCAAGAAUAGAGAGCUUGAUUGAACUAGGCCCUGAAGCACGUACACACCGCCCGUCACCCUCCUCAAGUAUUUAAGACUACUCAAAAUAUAUUACAAGAUCUAUAACUACAAGAGGAGACAAGUCGUAACAAGGUAAGCGUACUGGAAAGUGUGCUUGGAUAACU